rnacentral:lncRNA from 1 species
ACAACAUAUAGGGAAAACGAGACCAGAAUAGCACAAGUUAAUAAGAAGGUAAACUCCUGAUGAAAAUAUUAAUGAAAUUGCAUCUGGUGUCUUUUGAUCACAUGGCGAUCAAAUUAUGCAUCACACAGUAAUAUUUUUACAAUAAUCCCGCAUCAGAAGAUUUGAUCCCUUAUUACAAAAUUGACAUCUAGCCAUCCGGCGUUCACUACUGCUGGAAAAUAACGAGCAGGUGCAUGCUCCAUGGCGUUCACAUCGACGGAACGGUCCGGCGGUAUCUUUGAUAUGAUAUAUGUAUGCAUGUAUGGAUGUAUGUAUAGGAGUUAAGCGAUGGGAUGGGAGAUUAAUUUACAGCUCCCAUGUGUCGAACUUGCCAGAGACGAAGUCGUACUGGCCGCCGACCUGCUUGAGGGCUCCGUGGCCACAGCCUCCUUGACGAACGUGCAUGUAAGUGUUGAAGUUCUGGAUGGACACGUUGACCGCCUCCUGUGGAAAUGAAACAGCUAUAGUAACGAACCGUGCUACAGUGCCAUGAGCACUACAGUGAGCUACUAGUGAGAUAUCGAGCUGACUGUGCGUAUUGGUCACUAUUUGUCGCAACCAGCAACAAGUAGGGGGCCAAAUCCUAUUUGGCACCCUCUGCAUCAGUUACAUGCUUACAACCCCUUCCACCCAGCGACGCAUACCCCCCUUCGUCCUGCCCUCGUCCAAUUUAUUUACUUACGAGUUUUCUUCUCUAUGUUUGCAGCAUACACCCUACGUUUGUGGGCCACUCGUAUAGCCCGGUUUUGGGAAGCUUCUAAUUGCUUUUCAGUCCGGUUUUCUUUCUAUUUUUCGUUUGGUUUCCUUCUGGUUUUGUUUUAUUAUUGUUUUUAAUUUUUUUAUUUAUUUUAUUAAUUUCUAUAAACAUUUUAAUGUGCGUUACUUUCUUGUUCAAAUAUGUGUAAUUUUUCAAAUGCUUGAACUUUUUAUUUUCCUUUUUUUGCAAUUUGUUUUUCAAAUUCAUGAACCCUUUUCAAAUCCAGAAUAUGUUUUAAAAUUUUAUGACAUUUAUUCGAAUUUGUGAAAUGUUUUCUGUACUCGUGACCUUUUUCGAAUUUGUUAACAUUUUUUUGAAGUCGUGAACAUUUUCAAAUUCUUGAACUUUUUUCCGAACUUGUGAACUUUUUUGAAUUAAUGAACUUUUCUAAAAUAUAGUAACUUUUUCCAAUUCUGUAAAAAAAGUCAAAUCAACAAAAAUAUUGUUUCACAAACCUAUUCCAAAUUUGUGAAGAUUUGUUAAAUUCGUGAUCAUUUCUCAAGUUCGUGAAAAUCUCUCAAGUUCGCGAACAAUUCCGUGAGCUCUUGCCAAAUUCAUGAACUUUUCUUGAAAUCCUGUGUAUUUCUCGGAGUUGGGAUCUUUUUUGAAAUUCAAUAUUUUCUAAAAUUUAUGAUUUUUUCCAAUUCUUGAACAUUUCUCAAGUUCAUGAACUUUUUGCUAAACCAUGAGUUUUUAAGAAUUCAUGAACUUUUAGAAAUUUAUUAAAUUUUCUAUUUAAUCUUGUGAUUUUUUGGACUUUUUCAAAAGAUAAUGGUUGACUGGUAAGGUUCUCGACUUGUCACCACAUCAAAUGAAAGAGGCGAGUGAGCGAUCUCACGUUGUUGGGCUGUCCCCACGAGCACCCAAUAAGAGCUGAUGUGGAGGGGAGCUCUUAUUAGUAGCUUCAGGCACAAAAAGGUUCCUUGGCACUCAUUACCUUCAUUCCUGGGCUAUGGCCCAACAAUGCCGCUGCAACGGAACAAAACGCGAGCGGGUCGACCGUUCCCCUCGCUUUAGAUCUCUUGCUAGUUGAUUGGUGGACCAGUUGAUUUUUAAAAAACAUAUGUUUUGGACAAAAAAUCAUAAAAAAUCACUUUGAAAAAAUUUCAUGCAUUUUGAAAAGUAGAGAAAAUCUUCAUCAAUUUUGAAAAUGUUCACAAUUUUGAAAAAAAUAUCGUCGAAUUUGAAUUAAAGUUCAGCAAUUUUGAAAAAAAAAGUUCAUCAAUUUGAAAUAAGUUCAUCGAAUUUGAAAGGAAAAGCUCAUCAAUUUUUGGAAAAAUAAUAAUCGAUUUUGAAGUAAAAUUUCACGAAUUUGAAAAAAGUUCAACGAACUAGGAAGAAUAAAAUGAAAAAGGGAAAGGGGAAAAGGAAAAGGAAAAAAGAAAAACGAAAACGAAAAGUAGAAAGAAGAAAAGAUGUAAAUUAUACUAAUCAGGCAACUUAAGCUAGACAUGAGUGAUGGGCCAAGAGACAUAGACCUAUCCCCUUGUUGAGUUGGAGAUUGACCGUCGCAUGGUUGAUGGCUCGCCAUCGUUCGACCACCUGUGACUAGCCCACGUGUCAUGGCCUCUGUCCCACUACCCUUGGACAACCCGACUACUCCCAUAUCCUCGCCAAUGGUUGGCUCCCGUAGGGCGAGUGUGACAGUUUUACAUUGGUCUUGAUUCAAAAAUCACAUAAUGGGGUCAGUGAGGUGCACAACGUGGGAAGGAAGGGCAUCUAGUCACUUUCACAGUUUAUCACACAUGUCAAUGAUGGCGGGGAUCUACAUCCAGUCUGACAUUGGAGUACUCUAACAAAUCCACCAUAUGUUACUUCAUCACGAUGAAUGUAAGAUGGUGGUGUGUGCAAUCCCAUUUUAGCUCUUCCUAUAGAACUUGAAGGGGGAUUAGCGUCGACAAAGGAGGACUAGCCACGGAGUUGCUGGAACAUUAUAAAAAGGAAUAUCGCUUGAUUCUCCCAGAAGCAAUGGUGGUGUGCAUUGUCUUGCCCUGAUGGCUCUCAUGCUGAGUUAUGAUAUAUGCGAGAUAAGCUUAGUCUCUUCAUCUUGGCAGCUCAUUGAUCGUCCACUCAAAAUGAGGAUACAAUUUUGAUUUACAUCACCAUACUUGAACUUACGACACGAUACAAGUGGUAAGUUAGCACUUCAAGGGUGGAAAGAAAGAUUGCCUUGCUUAAAUAAAGAAAGCGAAAGGACGUGUUGUGUAGAAAUUCAGGUGGUAGCAUUGAAACUCGAAGAAAGCACAAUGAUUGGGUUGAAUAAAUCGUGAUAAAAAGAGGACAUGUUAGCAAUGGAGAGUCAAUAGAAGUCAAGUAGCAACAUUGAGGUUAUAUAAGUUGAAGUGCUAAAUUUUCCGCACUUGUAGAUGUCACCAAUACCAUUCUGGUAUACACCAACACGUAACACAUAUUGUCACAUGCCCAAAUAUGUGGAGCUCUCCGGUGAUGCCACAUGGCCAAUGAAUUUUUGCAAAACGGCCCCUCAAACUUACCCUAAUCGAAUGAGGGGCAGUGUUCGAGCUUGAGACUUCAACUAUGUGGGUGCACGAGCUAAUCACUCGACCAGAAAGUGCUUUGCAAUUCACAUAGAGGUAGAUAUUUGCUCAUAGUAUAAAUAUUGACAUUAAACAUUGAAAAUGACACUUGUUCAAACUAAACGCACUAAAUUAACAUGGAAACAAAGCACUAAACAUUGAGCUUGCAAACUACAUAGACAACACUAACACAAAGCAAACACUUAUCGACUAAACCGAUAACACUAAAUACUAAUAAUCUCAACCAAACACUCCUUCUUCUUGGAGGAUAUUCUCAUAAAAACAACAGCAAGAUGAAAUAUAGUUUGGUCACAUAAUAACGACAAAAACAAAGUUCUAGUACAUGGUCAUCAUUAUAACUUGAUCACCGAGUUAAUAUGAUCAGUCCAUGUUCUUGGCCAUACAAAAGAUAUCCACAAAAUACAUCAAGUUAAUAUAUAUGAUCUACCAUACACUACACAUGUUCACAAAGUACAUCAAUAGGAUAACACAAUACAAUAACAUCAAGCAACUCACUAUAAGCGAAUAUCAAACAUCAUAGGACAACAACACAAGAGAGCCUGGAUGAGCUCUCACACUCAUGUUUCUUCAGUAUAUCCUCAGCUUCUAUUUUGCAUUUUAGAUGGCGUGUCUCUUCUUUAAAAGUUCUCUUGGCAACUAUUGAUGGAUGCCAUCAUCGUGAACGCUAAACAAAAAUCAUGCUUGGGUCGCAACAAAGCAUUCGGUUCAGUAGACAAUCACAAAUAAACAAACUAAAUACUAACAAAACAAUGUUACUAAUAUGGGGCAAUCAAGGAUCAUUGACUUGGUCAAUCCAGCAAGAAAUAUAGCCUCCACCAAAGCUCUCUGUUUGUAUACAGAAGAUUUGAAUCGUGCAGCUUGACCAUCUUCUAACAUAGCCGGCUGUCACCGACAGCAACACCCCCGUUGAUCCAAAAUGCAAAGGGGGAUCAAGUGAGUUUCUAGGUUUUGAAAUUUGGAGGGGAAAGGAAUAUCCAAUUUUACUCUCGCGCUCUAUGAUUUUACCUCUAUGAGAGAGCCACACGAGAUGCCUCGAAGGGCGGUCGAGGGAUUAUGAAAGUUUGAGGGGCUGUUUUGCAGAAAUGCAGUGCCCACGUGACAACACCGGAGAUCCCCAAUGUAUCUAGGACCAUAACUGGGACUAUAUGUGCUACACAUUGGUGUAUACCGGAACAAUAUUGCGGCAUCUUUCAAGUCCAGGGAUGGUUGUGUUAUGCGCCAAUAAGUUAAUACACCAAGUGUAUAAUUUACUCUAAGUUAGCACUCCAAGGGUGGAAAGAAAGAAUGCCUUGUAUAAAUAAAGAAAGUGGAAGGAUCACAUGUUGUGUAGAAAGAGGUGGUAGCAUUGAAAGUUGAAGGUACUACAAUGAUUUGGCCAAAUUAAUCAAGAUAAAAAAUGACAUGUUAGCAAUGAAGAGGUAAUAAGAAGUCAAAUGAACAACAAAGUCGAGCUUGCGCGUGGGAAAUCCUUGUGAGAAAAACCUUGGGCACAUAUAGUGGCUAUCUUCACGAUACUGGGAGAUAUAUUUACAAAUGAAGGGGACACACUAUAUGAGAUGCAAAAUCAUCCUAUAGGGUUUAUAAGUGUUAUAAAUAAAGUGAUGCCAGUCUUUGCGAGUUGAAAACCUAAUCCCUCCAGCAUAACGAAUUCGGAUAUGACAAAACACGGCCUCUCAUCAUAAUGAUAUGGAUCAUACAUAAUAAGAUAUGAGGGUGCAAAACGAAAAUGACGUGAAUCAGAGAGAAAUAAUGCUUGAACAAGCAAUGCAUUAAGCACACACUAAGCCAACAAAUGUUAAGACUAAGUACUCCGUGUUGGGAUGGAAUGUGUGGAUCACAAAACAUUAUCUGAUUAGGUACAGAGAAUGCGAAUUAAAUAGCGAUGAUCAAGGCUUUUGCGUAACCAUGGCACUACAAACAUGGCAAUUUGGAGCGCUUUGCCGAGAUUCCAAUACCAUGUGUUGAAUUUAAGGUAGCUUUCAAACUCAAGGGGCCUAGACAUCUGAUCCGGCUUGUUGCACAUUUAGCUGGUAUUAUUACCAUUUAAAGGGUUGUUCCCCUUCAUUCACGAUGCAAGCAAAUAGAACACACUUCUGUAAGCAUUCAACAACAUAUGUGCUGGAAUAUGUUUGGCAAUGUCUUCCAUGACACGUGAAUCGAUUAUAAAAUCUAUGGUAAAUCAAUAAUCAACAUCUUUUCUAUGAUCAUGACUUUACCAAAAGAGAUGAUGAUUUCGGUAGCUUUAUUGAGUUCUGGGCCCCCUAAUUUUUCAAGUACUACCCUCUUCGUCCUAAAAUAGGUGUCUCAAUUUUCUACUAACUUUAGUACAAAGUUGAGACGUUUAUUUUGGGAUGGAGGGGGUAUUAGUGACUAAGCGAGUCACGGCCCAACUUGCUGAUCUGAGCCCACGGCCUAGUUAUGUGAUAGUCUCACCAUCACGGUACUGGAAGUAGUUUGCAUACAUGUGCACGCACACACACAUCAUAUCCGGCUCAGUUGNNNNNNNNNNNNNNNNNNNNNNNNNNNNNNNNNNNNNNNNNNNNNNNNNNNNNNNNNNNNNNNNNNNNNNNNNNNNNNNNNNNNNNNNNNNNNNNNNNNNNNNNNNNNNNNNNNNNNNNNNNNNNNNNNNNNNNNNNNNNNNNNNNNNNNNNNNNNNNNNNNNNNNNNNNNNNNNNNNNNNNNNNNNNNNNNNNNNNNNNNNNNNNNNNNNNNNNNNNNNNNNNNNNNNNNNNNNNNNNNNNNNNNNNNNNNNNNNNNNNNNNNNNNNNNNNNNNNNNNNNNNNNNNNNNNNNNNNNNNNNNNNNNNNNNNNNNNNNNNNNNNNNNNNNNNNNNNNNNNNNNNNNNNNNNNNNNNNNNNNNNNNNNNNNNNNNNNNNNNNNNNNNNNNNNNNNNNNNNNNNNNNNNNNNNNNNNNNNNNNNNNNNNNNNNNNNNNNNNNNNNNNNNNNNNNNNNNNCGUCAGCGGCAAAUCAAACCACUGCAACUUAAUCCUUGGUCUCCUAGUCUCCUCUCUUGAUUCUUCUCUAGUGGAUUAACAAUUUCUCGGAAAGAGAGCAUUGAUGGCUAUGAACUGCUGGUUCAUUGCUGCUAUGGUGCUAACUCAAACUUAUAAAUUGGGUGUAUUUUAUCGAUUCUUCAUUCUCUCUUUCAUCCCUCCAGAGCAGAUCAACAGUAGUUUCCAUUCGUUCUCUUUGUCGAGGAGCAGAGCCAUCGGGGCCCAAUACACCAUCGUUGCUUCAUGGUCUGCAUCCCUCAAUACUAAACAGUCGUAGGUUCUUAUGUCCCUUUUUGUUUUGUACUCCUCUGUUCAUAAGUCAACCUGCUGCUCUUUCAUGAAUUUUUGCAUCUAGCAUUAUAAUUUUCUGAGAUGUCUAACAAACAUAGGCACAAUUCUAAGAUUAUAAGAUAUAAGUUAAUAGUUCAAAGUAAUAAAGAUUUAUUUUGUCAUGAUAUUUUUCUUUGAGAUUUCGCAAUGGUUAGUUGAAAAUAUUUAGUUUGUUUUUUUGUAUGUGGGGUCUAAAUUGUGAUUUCGCACCGGGUUUCCAAUAAAGCAGCCCUGCGGGUUUCCUCGAUAAGGGGGCAUAAGUGCCACUCUUACCCGAUCCGAAGUCUUACACUUACACGCCGAGUAUCCCUACUAGGAGAGAAAGGCCACUACCAUGGCUCUAUAACAGUGUUCAAGGCCCCGACAGGGGAACCAAACAAUCACGAACAACCGAGACUGUAAUUAUCAUGGUGUGCAUUUCCUAGAUCGUCCCCCAUAGCCCAUCGAGUUGCUUAUCAGCUCGUUGGAUCCAUCCUGUGUAACUCGGAUUGCACUAUAUCCCAAUUAAACAUGGGCAUACCGGAGAUGUUGGGGAGACUACGGAGAUGUUGUGAUUGCGAGAGUCGGGCUUCAUGCGGGGGAGACUACGGAGAUGUUGCGCCGGGUAGUUCACCGGCGAACGGCGGCGGCAGCGGCGGCGGCGGUCCGACCCUUGAAGGGUCCAUUGCCUAAGGUAUGUCUCCCGAAUUUAACUCUUUUUGAUUUGAUUCGGCCGGAUUCCUGGACUUUGGUGAAGAGACGAAAGAAUGCACAUCGGAAAAGCUCUAGAUCGGCGCCGGAGGUGACCGCGGCGGUGUUGCCAGCGGUCACGGCGAUCCAGAUCUGCGACGCUCGCCAGGAGCGUUUGAAUCAGCCCCUGGGCCGAGCCGAGCCGACAGUUAUUGGGCCGGUUGGUGUUAUUGGGCCGGGGUCCGGUGGGUAUGAGGCCCAGCCGGAACCGGUUUCGAUCAACACUAACGAAAGGGGCGCAUGCACGUACCGAUCAUCGUCGCUUCCUACGUCGCUGCGCCCUAGGGUUCUGGUUCGACGAGCGCCGCGGCUGCGUAUGGCGGGACCUGGUCGGGCUCGCCGCAUCCUUCCUCUCGGAGUGAUGGCUGGUCCUGGUGGUGCGCCUCCUGGAAAGAGGCCGCCUCCGCCUACCGGGGCAAGUCGUGCCAGUGGGGUGCUGCCGCAGGGUCAGGGCAUUGGCCGGGCCGCGCUGCCGGCGUCGGUGUCGGGUGCUGGGCGUGGCGGCAUGGCGCCCCCCAAGGCCGCUGAGGGUUGCAGGUCGGGUGGCCCUGGUGCGAUGCACUUUGCCGGCGGGGCGAGCGCUGGGAGGCUGCCGGCGCUGGUCUUGCCGUCGGCCAGGCGAGGCGGACCGGCCUCCGGUCUUCGGCCGGUGGCUUCCAACGGUGCUGCGAUGGCCGCUGCGGGCCGGGGGGCUGCGCCCCCAAGGCCGCCUUCUUCGGGUCCGUAGCAGUCCAACGUUGGUGGUACUGUGGCUGCGCCCCGGGGACAAUGGGGGGAUGACGGCUACGAUGCCUAUGGGGCUGGCCAGCACCGUGGUUCUUCGUCCACGGGUGGAGGUCGUGGUUAUGCGUGGCAAAGCGACGGUUCGGCUGACAGGCCGUUCUUGGGUCCUUCAGGUGGCUUCGUUGAGGGGCCUUCUGGUCUGGGCAAUCGGCAGCGGGGAGGCUUCUGUGGCCAUCGUGGUGGUCGGGGCGGUCGAGGGGGUCGGUACCGUCCAUGACAACCGCCCCCACCUGUUGUCGAGAGCAUCAUAAAACACGUGAUAAACACAUCUAAGUCUAACAUACUUCCUAUGCAUAGGCAUCUUAUAGGCAAACAAAUUAUCAAGGCAAGGAAAAACUAGCAUAUGCAAGGAGGCGGAAAGAAACAAUAGCAAUCUCAACAUAACGAGAGGUAGAUUAUUAUCAUGAAAAUUUCUACGACCAUAUUUUCCUCUCUCAUAAUAAUUACAUGUGGGAUCAUAAGCAAAUUCAACAAAAUAGCUAUCACAUAAAAUAUUUUCAACACGAUCCACAUGCAUGCAAAGUUGACACUCUUCCGAAAUAGUGGGAUUAACAUUAACUAAAGUCAUGACCUCUCCAAACCCACUUUUAUAAAAAAAAUCAUAAGAUUGAAUAUUCUCCAAAUAUGUGGGAUCUAGAGUUGACACUCUUCCAAACCCACUUUCAAUAUUAUUGCAAACAAUAUUAUCAAUCUCAUAUUCAUCAUGGGGAUUAAAUAAAUUUUCAAGAUCAUAAGAAGAAUCACCCCAAUCAUGAUCAUUGCAACAAGUGGUGGACAUAGCAAAAUUAGCAUCCCCAAGCUUAGGGUUUUGCAUAUUAUUGGCACAAUUGACAUCAAUAGAAUUUAUAAUAAAAUCAUUGCAAUCAUGUUUUUUAUUCAAAGAUUUGUCGUGAAUUGCUUCAUAAAGUACUUCAUUACAAUUUUCAGAUUCACGAAUUUCAAGCAAAACCUCAUAAAGAUAAUCUAGUGCACUCAACUCACUAGCAAUAGGUUCAACAUAAUUGGAUCUCUUAAAGAGAUUAGCAAGUGGAUGAGGAUCCAUAAACUUUUAGCAAGCGAAUAUGCAAGCAAAAAGAAGGCACAUGGAGACACAAGCAAACAAGAGACAAGCGAAAAAGAGGAGGAGAUUGGGAAAGAGAGGGUGAAUAAAACGGCAAGGGUGAAGUGGGGGAGAGGAAAACAAGAGGCAAAUAAUGUAAUGCGAGAGAUAGGGAUUGUGAUGGGUACUUGGUGUGGUUGACUUUUGUGCAAACUCCCCAGCAACGGCGCCAGAAAUUCUUCUUGCUACCUCUUGAGCACUGCGUUGGAUUUCCCCGAAGAGAAGAGGAUGAUGCAGUAAAGUAGCACAAGUAUUUCUCUUAGUUUUUGAGAACCAAGGUAUCAAUCCAGUAGGAGAUCACGCACGAGUCCCUCGUAGCUACACAAAACGAUAGCUACUCGCAACCAACGCGAUUAGGGGUUGUCAAUCCCUUCACGGUCAUUUUUGAGGGUGAGAUCUGAUAGAGAUGAUAAAUAAUAUUUUUGGUAUUUUUAAUAUAGAGAUGCAAAGUAAAAAGUAAAAAGCAAAGUAAAAACAAAGCAAGUAAAUAAAGUAGUGGAGAUUGAUAUGAUGAGAAUAGACCCGGGGGCCAUAGGUUUCACUAGUGGCUUCUCUCAAGAGCAUAAGUAUUCUAUGGUGGGUGAACAAAUUACUAUUGAGCAAUUGAUAAAAAAGCGAAUAAUUAUGAGAUUAUCUAGGUAUGAUCAUGUAUAUAGGCAUCACGUCCAAGACAAGUAGAUAGAAACGAUUCUGCAUCUACUACUAUUACUCCACUCAUCGACUGCUAUCUAGCAUGCAUCUAGAGUAUUAAGUAAAACAGAGUAACGCCUUAAGCAAGAUGACAUGAUGUAGAGGGAUAAAUUCAUGCAAUAUGAUAAAAACCCCAUCUUGUUAUCCUCGAUGGCAACAAUACAAUACGUGCCUUGCAACCCUUUCUGUCACUGGGUAAGGACACCGCAAGAUUGAACCCAAAGCUAAACACUUCUCCCAUUGCAAGAACUACCAAUCUAGUUGGCCAAACCAAACGGAUAAUUCGAAGAGACUUGUAAAGAUAACUCAAUCAUACAUAAAAGAAUUCAGAGAAGAAUCAAAUAUUGUUCAUAGAUAAGUUGGAUCAUAAACCCACAAUUCAUCGGUCUCAACAAACACACCGCAAAAAGAAGAUUACAUCGAAUAGAUCUCCACAAGAGAGGGAGAGAAUAUUGUAUUGAGAUCCAAAAAGAGAGAAGAAGCCAUCUAGCUAAUAACUAUGGACCCGAAGGUCUGAAGUAAACUACUCACACUUCAUCAGAGAGGCUAUGGUGUUGAUGUAGAAGCCCUCCGUGGUAGAUGCCCUCUCCGGCGGAGCUCUGGAACAGGCCCCAAGAUGGGAUCUCGCGGAUACAGAAGGUUGCGGCGGUGGAAUUAGGUUUUUGGCUCCUGUUCUGAUAUGACGGGGGUACGUAGGUAUAUAUAGGAGGAAGGAGUACGUCGGUGGAGCAACAUGGGGCCCACGAGGCAGGGGGCGCCCUCCACCUUCGUGACCGCCUCUGGCACUUCUUGGAGUAGGGUCCAAGUCUCCUGGAUCACGUUCGGUGAGGAAACCACGUUCCCGGAGGUUUUAUUCCGUUUGGACUCCGUUUGAUAUUCUGUUUCUUCGAAAUACUGAAAUAGGCAAAAAACAGCAAUUCUGGGCUGGGCCUCCGAUUAAUAGGUUAGUCCCAAAAAUAAUAUGAAAGUGGAAAAUAAAGCCCAAUAUAGUCCAAAACAGUAGGUAAAGUAGCAUGGAGCAAUCAAAAAUUAUAGAUACGUUGGAGAUGUAUCAGACAUCUCCUCCCCUGUCGCGUCUACCUCUCUGCUGGUGGCGACUGUGCCAUUGGGAGGGGGCUCGAGGCAGGUGUCCUCGGAGCCCUCUUCUCCUGAGGCGCCUAUGGUGGUGGCCUCUCCGGUGCUGGGUGGGCAGUUCGGGCAGGUGGCCCAUGCACUCCCUUCCCCUCGUUCGCCGCCGGUUCCGCCCUGUGGGGCGCGCCAGACGUUAGAGGCCGUGGUGAGUGACUUUCCACUUCCUAGCGAGUCUGCUGGGGAGUUCGUGCAGGCGGACCGGCCUUGCCGGUGGGGUGAGGCAGGAGGCCCUACCCCGACCAGGUUCUCUCGGGAGGAGAUUAUAGCGUUUGGAGGGAUUCAAGAUCCGAUGUCUGAGGGGCGACGGGUGAGUGGCCGUCUCCAGACUCAGCCGGAUGUGGACGACAUUCAGUAGCGGUGCGCCAUGAGGGCGGCCAAGCUCCGUGAUGUUGAGGUCACUACUGGUAUGUCGGUCAAUACUUCUAAUUCCAUUCUGCAUUUUUCUACUGAUGAGAUUGUGGAAAAUGCAAAUCAAUUAGGAGUUUCACUUGGUAGUAAUGAUAUUGAAAUCUCUAUUUCUGUUAAUGAUCUUCUGGAUAUAGAGGCUGAGCGGGCCUUAGACAUGAUUCAUAAUAUAGCGGAGAUUAAGCCCAUGAGUGAUUCUGAGGUUGAUGCUUUAGGGGUCACGGUGCUCGAUAAUUUUUGUGUGGAUCUUAUUCCUCCCAUUCCUGAGGCGGAAAAGGAGGAUGAUGCUUCUGAGAUGGUUAUGGCUAGAAUUCCUGAGACUGGUUGUGAGGACCGGUUGCAGAAUCAAAUUGUCCCUAAACCAAAGUGGAAAUGGAAGGUGUACCCGGUAUCCGCAGUGCGUAGGAGUGCUAGGAUUCGUACGGCUAAAAAAUUCGAUGAUGAACUAUGAAAGGAAUCUUUUGGAAUGGCAGAGGUCUAAAGGACUUGGCUAAAAGAAGGUUUCUUGCUGAGGCGUCUGUCGAGCAUCGAUUAGAUUUUAUUGCUCUAUCGGAGAACGGUAGAGAUAAUUUGGUGCCACAAUUUCUAAAUACUUUGUCGGGAGGUAUUGAUUUUGAUUGGCAUUGCCUGCCACCGAGAGGGAGAUCGGGUGGGAUUUUACUCGGCGUUCGAUGUGAAGCGCUAGAGGUUCAAAGUGUGGUAAUGGGUGACUUUGCAGUCAAGUUUCAGGUACGUUCGAAGGAUGAUGGAUUUGAUUGGGCUUUGGUUGCGGUAUAUGGUGUCGCGCAGCCCGAACUCAAGCCCGAGUUCUUGGUUGAUCACGUUAGGAUUUGCGGCUCCGAGCAGCUUCCUAUCCUGGUGGGGGUGAUUUCAAUAUCAUUAGACGACAUGAGGAUAAGAACAAUGAUAACUUUGACGACAGAUGGUCUUUCAUGUUUAAUACUAUCAUUGAAAGUCUUGACCUGUGAGAGACUGAGCUCUCGGGUAGAAAAUUAAACUGGGCUAACGCGCUGCCAAAUCCGAUGUAUGAGAAGUUGGAUCAAGUGUUGGCUAGUGUCGAUUGGGAACAGAAGUUUCCGUUAGUAACAGUUCAGGCUUUGUCCCGUGGAAUUUCUGAUCACACGCCGUUAUUUGUGGACUCUAGUGAGGCCACCCACCUGGGUAACAAAAACUCGUUCUCCUUUGAGCUGUCUUGGUUUGAACGAGAAGGUUUCUUUGAUCUCGUAGCCAGAGAGUGGGCUAAGGAUUUAGGAGGGAAGACUGCGCUUCAGCGCUGGUAGAAUAAGAUUAGGCAUUUGAGAAGUUUCCUGCGUGGGUGGGCUAAGCAUCUCAGUGGGAUUUAUAAGGUCGAAAAGGAAAGGCUCCUUUCCCUUAUUCAGUCCCUAGAUGUAAAGGCAGAAACCUCGGUGCUGCCGGCUGCGGAGCUUCAUGCCAAGCUUGACGCGGAGAUGAGGCUGAAAGAACUUCUUCGAGAAGAGGAAUUGAAGUGGGCGUUGCGGGCCAAGGUCCGGCGAGUAGUCUAGGGGGAUGCGAACACUCAAUUCUUUCACAUGAUCGCUAAUGGUAAACAUAGAAAGAAGAGGAUCUUUCAGCUUGAGCAAGAUGAAGGAACAAUUUUAGGGCAGAAAAACCUAAAAAUGUACAUUACUGAGUAUUACAAGCAGUUAUUUGGUCCUCUAGAGGAUAACCGUGUGUCUCUGGAUGACUCCAGGGUUGAGGAUGUUCCUCAACUCACAGCGGUGGAGAAUGAUUUUCUAGCGGCUCCUUUUUCUGAGAAAGAGGUGUUUGAGGCCAUAUCGCAAAUGAAAAAUAAAAAGGCGAUGUGCCCCGAUGGAUUUCCAGCGGAAUUUUAUAAAAAGUGCUCACAUAUUAUUAAAGGGGAUCUGUUGCCUUUGUUCAAUGAUCUCUUCUCUGGGCAGCUUCAGCUUUUUCAGCUGAAUUUUGGAACGAUAACCCUCCUUCCUAGAAAACAGAGGCUGUGAGAAUUGAGCAAUUCAGGCCCAUCUGUCUUCUUAAUGUAAGUUUCAAAAUCUUUAUCAAGGUCGGGACUAAUAGGCUCACACAGACCGCGCAUGUUGUGGUGCAGCCUACCCAAACUGCUUUCAUGCCGGACAGGAACAUCCUUGAGGGGGUUGUGGUCCUUCAUGAAAUGCUCCAUGAGAUCCACACGAAAAAGCUAGAUGGGGUUGUUUUCAAAGUGGAUUUCGAGAAAGCGUAUGACAAAGUCAAAUGGCCCUUCCUUCAACAGGCCUUACGCAUGAAGGGUUUUGAUGAAGCAUGGCGACGCCAGGUAGAAUCCUUCACGCAAAAAGGGAGUGUUGGAAUUAAAGUGAAUGACGAUUUAGGUCAUUAUUUCCAGACACACAAAGGCCUGAGGCAAGGUGAUCCAAUGUCUCCUAUUUUGUUCAACAUUGUGGUUGACAUGUUGGCAAUUCUCAUAGGAAGGGCAAAGGAGGCCGGUCAGGUGGGUGGCUUGGUGCCUCAUCUAGUUGAUGGGGGUGUGUCCAUUCUGCAGUACGCUGAUGAUACAAUCAUCUUUAUGGAGCAUGACUUGGCAAAAGCGAGAAAUAUGAAGCUGGUGUUAUGCUUAUUUGAACAAUUGACCGGAUUAAAGAUUAACUUUGAUAAAAGCGAGUUAUUCUGCUUUGGUAGAGCCAAGGAGGAACAAGAGGCUUAUAGGCAAUUGUUUAGAUGUGAAUUAGGGGCUUUACCUUUUACUUACCUAGGUAUACCCAUUCACCAUCGUAAGCUAACAAACAGAGAGUGGAAAUGCAUCGAAGAUCGGUUUGAGAAAAAACUUAAUUGCUGGAAGGGCAAACUCAUGUCUUAUGGAGGCCGAUUGAUUCUUAUCAACUCGAUGCUCACGAGUAUGCCGAUGUUCCUACUAUCUUUCUUCGAAGUUCCAGUUGGGGUUAGGAAAAGGCUGGACUUUUACCGAUCAAGAUUUUUUUGGCAGAGUGAUGAACUAAAGAGGAAGUACCGACUCACCAAAUGGGAUAACAUCUGUCGACCAAAGGACCAAGGGGGUCUGGGCAUUGAGAAUCUUGAGGUCAAGAAUAGAUGCCUUCUCAGUAAGUGGCUGUAUAAGUUAUCAGUUGAGACUGACGCAACAUAGGCACAAAUUCUCCAUAACAAGUAUCUGCAGUCCAAGACUUUGUCACAGGUGACAGUGAGACCAACUGAUUCGCCGUUUUGGAAGGGGCUUAUGAGAGUUAAGGCAGCCUUCUUUAAUAGAACAAAGUUUAUUGUCGGGAAUGGCAACAAUACCCGUUUCUAGGAGGAUACUUGGCUUGGUGAUACGCCAUUAUAUUGGCGUUCCAGUACCCGUCUCUGUAUCGUGUUGUUCAAAGACGUGAUGUGCUAGUUGCAACGAUUAUGCAGUCCAUUCCCCUUAAUAUCCAGUUUCGGAGGGUGCUUGUUGGUGACAGGUGGGAAGCAUGGCUUCAUCUGGUGAGUAGACUGAUGGAGGUUCAGUUAGGUCAUCAGCCCGAUCAAUUGUGUUGGAAACUUACUAGGUCCGGAGAAUUUACGGUUAAAUCAAUGUAUAUAGAUGUCAUUAACUCUAGUGUCAUUCCUAGUUCCAAACAUGUUUGGAAAGUAAAAGUCCUUUGAAGAUUAAAGUGUUUAUGUGGUUUGUACAUAAACAAGUCAUCUUAACAAAGGACAACUUGGUUAAGCGCAAUUGGACAGGAUCUACUAGGUGUAGUUUCUGUGAUCGGGACGAGACCAUUAAGCACCUCUUCUUUGAGUGCCCGUUGGCGAGAGUUUUGUGGCGCACUGUGCAAAUUGCCUUUAACAUUACUCCUCCAAAUUCGGUCGGUACGUUAUUUGGAACGUGGCUUGUUGGGAUAGAGUCCGAUACAGCUAGACACAUUCGUGUAGGAGUAUGUGCAUUGUUAUGGGCAAUUUGGAACUGCAGAAAUGAUUUGGCUUUUAACAGAACAACAACUAUUCAUUUUUUGCAGGUUUUAUUCCGGGCUACGGCGCUGAUCCGCAUGUGGUCCUUACUCACUCCGACGAAGGCCAGGGAGCGUUUGGUUACUGGAUCUGUCCGGUGGGAGAUGGUGGCGCGGGAUAUCUUCAACCGGUUUGGAUGGCGGUUAUGUAAUAGGAUAGGCGAUUAGUUUUCCUAUCUUUGUUUAGCCAGCCGGUUGUGGCUCUGUGGCAUUUUUUGUCUUUGGCGUUGAGGCUCUCUGUGAGCUAGCCUUUAUUUUCUUUUCCAUACUUUGAUACCUUGUUGAACCUAUUUUAUUUAUAAAUAUGGUCGUAUGCAUCGUUCUAAUGCAGAGGCCGGGGAGUCCCCCCUUUUAAAAAAAAAACAUGGGCAUACCCCGGUGCUAGAGUGUGCAUGCAAAAGACCAAACAAUAAAUAUAUUUGUAUGCCUAUAUUAUAAUCCUUUUGUCUGAAAUAUAAAGUGUUCUUUCAAAAGUCAAACAUCUUUUACCAGUGACUAGGAUGGAACCUAGGUAAAUCAAGUUCUGAGGCCCUGUUUGGUUCAUAAGUCCUGGGACUUUUUCUAGUCCCAACUAAAAAGUCCCUAGUCCCUAAAAAGUCCCUCCCUGUUUGUUUCCAUAGACUAAAAAGUCCCUAGUCCCUUCCUAGAGGUUAUUAAAUGACCAUAUUGCCCCUAGUAUAUAGAAAAAUAACAAUCAAACAACACCAUGGGGUGGCGGGCCAAUGAAUGCAUGGAGGGGCAUUGUUGGAAAAGUCCCAAAAAGUCCCAAAAAGACUCUCCUUGAGAGUCUUCUUCAUUUAGUCCCAAAUGCCUAGUUUAGUCCCUAAAAAGUCCCUCCCGUUUGAUAAAAAAGUCUCUAAGAAAGACUUUUUCUAGUCCCUACACAAAAAAGUCCAUGAAAACAAACACCCCCUGAGACCCCUCGGACAUAAGGUGACAUCCCAUGACUACAUAAAUGCCGUAGAACUACCAUACCACUUGUGAGGCACCGAUGAAAUUAGCCUAGAAACGCCAUCCCUUUGUAAAAUGAAAAAAAAAAUAGUUCCAACACAUAAAUGUAAAUCACCGACUGUCAUUUUUCAGUGUCAAUGUCAAUAGUCGUGCAAGACCUCAAAGCUUUCAGUUGGGUAUAGUGGUGUUUGCAAUUUCGAUUUUCGAGCAAACUCAGGUCCUUAUUAGUUAUACAAACUAAUGUGUUCAUCUAAGAAAAUUUAGGGUUUUGGCGGGUCUAGAACGAUAGUCUGUUCCUCACAUUAAAGUCUGAAACAGCUAGCCAGUGGCUCACAUCAUAGGGAAAGCAAAACCUUAGGAGCUUAGGUCUCAUAGGUAGUCACUACAGCCAUGUACUGUUUGUACCGUCUAACAGUCCAUAUGCGCCUAUGAAUGCGCAGAUCGCAAAGGUCCAUAUCUAGAACGGUCAUUUGUUCGUCCAAGGAAAGUUUGAAACAACUAGCCAAUGCCACACAACAUAGCUAAAGGAAAACCAUAAGAGCACAAGGUAAUACGAAGGUAAACUCUUGAUGAAAAUAUGAAUGAAAUUGCAUCUGAUGUCUUUUGAUCACAUGGCGAUCAAAUUAUGCAUCACACAGUAAUAUUUUUACAAUAAUCCCGCAUCGGGAGAUUUGACCCCUUAUUACAAAAUUGACAUCCAGCCAUCCAGCGUUCACUACUGCUGGAAAAUAACGAGCAGGUGCAUGCUCCAUGGCAUUCACAUCGAUGGAUCAGUCCCACGGUAUAUUUGAUAUGAUAUAUGUACCAUGUAUGUGUCUGUAGAAGUUGAGCGAUGGGUGGCGAGAUUAAUUUAC